GGACCAAUAGCUCAGCUGGAUAGAGUACUUGACUACGAAUCAAGGGGUCGGGGGUUCGAAUCCUCCUUGGUCCGCCA
rnacentral:tRNA from 4 species